UACGAAGGGGGCUAGCGUUGCUCGGAAUCACUGGGCGUAAAGGGUGCGUAGGCGGGUUUUUAAGUCAGGGGUGAAAUCCUGGAGCUCAACUCCAGAACUGCCUUUGAUACUGAAGAUCUUGAGUUCGGGAGAGGUGAGUGGAACUGCGAGUGUAGAGGUGAAAUUCGUAGAUAUUCGCAAGAACACCAGUGGCGAAGGCGGCUCACUGGCCCGAUACUGACGCUGAGGCACGAAAGUGUGGGGAGCAAACAGG
rnacentral:rRNA from 1 species